rnacentral:misc_RNA from 1 species
GUCACGCCCGAAGUCRUUACUCUAACCCCUCGGGGAGGAGGAUGCCGAAGGCAGGGCUGAUGACUGGGGUGAAGUCGUAACAAGGUAGCCGUACCGGAAGGUGUGGCUGGAUCACCUCCUUUUUAGGGAGACCUGAGAGAUGAAUUGAGUCCAAACGCACCAAUCAUAACUCUCAUAUCCCAGGUCGUUCGAGGUCAAACAAAAAGGCUUUCAAACUAACAUCAGGUCGGGACAUGGGCUAUUAGCUCAGGUGGUUAGAGCGCACCCCUGAUAAGGGUGAGGUCCCUGGUUCGAGUCCAGGAUGGCCCACUCCCCGCCAUCAGUCAGCGCCCAGGCGCUUUUCUGAAAGCGGCCAGCUUUUGGGGGUAUAGCUCAGUUGGUAGAGCGCUGCCUUUGCAAGGCAGAUGUCAGCGGUUCGAGUCCGCUUACCUCCAGAGAAGACAACCACUGUCAAGCAACUGCACUGGGAAUGAACCAGACAGACUGCUGGACAGAAUCUGUCCAGAAUGAACCUAGAAAAUUACAUAGAAACCGAAUCAAAGGUGUAUCCAUUUUCGAGAAAUCGAAGAUAUGAAUCAAGCCAAUGUGGUCAAGCUACAAAGGGCUAAUGGUGGAUACCUAGGCACACAGAGG